AAUGAUGAUGACGACGAUGAUGAUGACUUUGACUACGAUGAUGUAAAAGAUACUUUCUUCGAAGCAAAGUUUCUAAAUGAUGAUGACGACGAUGAUGAUGACUUUGACUACGAUGAGGAAGAAGUCCUUUCUUCAAAGAAAAGUUUCUAAAUGAUGAUGACGAUGGCGAUGAUGACUUUGACUACGAUGAGGAAAAAGAUGCUUUCUUCAAAGAAAAGUUUCUAAAUGGUGAUGACGACGAGAAUGAUGACUUUGACGACGAUGAGGAAGAAGAUACUUUCUUUAAAGCAAAGUUUCUAAAUGAUGAUGACGACGAUGAUGAUGACUUUGACGACGAUGAGGAAGAUCCUUUCUUCAAAGAAAAGUUUCUAAAUGAUGAAUAUGACAUUCGAGAUGAUGUGCACGCAAAACUCAUAAGUUUACCGUGGAUGCGAGGAGAGUAUGGAACAAUUGGUCCUAACGAGAUAAUACCGUAUGUUCACGUUUUUGUCACAGUUGACUAUGAAAAAGGAGGUUCUGAUGAAGUUGUUUUGAAGAAUUAAAUUGAUCAAAAAUUGGAAACUGGAACUUCGAAGUAUUUUGAAUUCCGUAAAAAAUCAUAUGAGAAACCGAAGCUUGAACUGUUAUCGGAUAUUGCUGUAAAAAGAAGUAAUGAGCUACCAAUAAGAGGUACAUUGACAAUGUUCUGUUACCAUAACGACAAGCAUUACGCGUUGACGUGUUUUCAUGUUGGUUACAACAAA